rnacentral:lncRNA from 1 species
AAAAAUUAAGAAAAAAGCAAUGUUUCCUUUUUUGGUAGUUUAUGCAAAGUUAAAUUCCAAAAGUCCUUGAAAACAUUUCAUACAUUGCAUAGCAUAACAUUGCAUAACAGGUGCUCUAAAAGGGAUCAAUGUUCUCACGGUUUUCCUCCAAACAGAAAAAUGGACCUCGAACAAAUUGUCAAAGAUCUCCAGGCUCGGAAUGCUCAACUCCAGAAGAUGAUCUUGAACUUAUCCAGGGGGCAGGAGGAACUGAAGGCUCUCU